rnacentral:rRNA from 1 species
GACGAACGCUGGCGGCGUGCCUAACACAUGCAAGUCGAACGGAAAGGCGCUGCUCUUGUGGGGCGCUCGUUUGGCGAGCGGGUGAGUAACACACGUGUAACCCGCCCCUGUCAUUGGGGUAACUUCAGGAAAAUCGGGCUCAUACCGGAUAGGAGCUCCUGCACCACGGGGUGGGAAGGUAAGAUUCGGCGGUUGGGGAUGGUCUCGCUGCUUAUCCGCUUCUUUGUGGGGUAGUUGUUUACCAAGGUUUAGACGGAUAGCCGGCCUGAGAGGGGGGACGGGCACAUUGGGCCUACGAGACGGACCAGAAGCCAACGGGAGGCAACAGUCGGGAACAUUGCGCAGUGGGCGGAAGCCUGAUGUAGCGACGCCGGGUGCGGGAUGACGUCCUACGGGUUGAGAACAGCUUUCGAAGGUGACGUAGAGUGAGUGACGGUAAUGAAUGAAGAAGCACCGGCUAACUACGUG